rnacentral:rRNA from 1 species
GAUGAACGCUGGCGGCGUGCCUAAUACAUGCAAGUCGAGCGAACAGACGAGGCGCUUGCUCCUCUGACGUUAGCGGCGGACGGGUGAGUAACGCGUGGAUAACCUACCUAUAAGACUGGGAUCACUUCGGGACACCGGCGCUAAUCCCGGAUAAUCUCUUGAACCGCAUGGUUCGAUAGUGAAAGACGGUUUUGCUGUCACUUAUCGCUGCAUCCUGGCCGCAUGAGCUAGUUGGUGAGGUAACGGCUUACCAAGGCGACCAUGCGUAGGCGAGCUGAGAGGGUGAUAGGCGACACUAGAACGUAGACACGGACCAGAGGCCUACGGGAGGCAGCAGAAGGGAAUCUUCCGCAAUAGGCGAAAGCAUGACGGAGCAACGCCGCGUGAGUGAUGGAGGUCUUGGGUUCGUAAAACUCUGUUACUAGGGAAGAACAAAUGUGUAAGUAACUAUGCACGGCUUGACGGUAAUUAAUCAGAAAGCCACGGCUAACUACGUG